rnacentral:rRNA from 1 species
CUUGGUCAUUUAGAGGAAGUAAAAGUCGUAACAAGGUCUCCGUAGGUGAACCUGCGGAGGGAUCAUUACAGAGUUCAUGCCCUGUAGGGUAGAUCUCCCACCCUUUGUCUACAUACCUCUGUUGCUUUGGCAGGCCGAACCGCUGGUCUACCGGCUCUGCUGGUAAGUGCCUGCCAGAGGACCCCAAACCCUGAGAGUUAGUGUCGUCUGAGUAUCAUAUAUAAUAGUUAAAACUUUCAACAACGGAUCUCUUGGUUCUGGCAUCGAUGAAGAACGCAGCGAAAUGCGAUAAGUAAUGUGAAUUGCAGAAUUCAGUGAAUCAUCGAAUCUUUGAACGCACAUUGCGCCCCUUGGCAUUCCGAGGGGCAUGCCUGUUCGAGCGUCAUUGCAACCCUCAAGCUCUGCUUGGUGUUGGGCGUCACCAGCCCUGGUGUGCCUUAAAAUCAGUGGCAGUGCCACCUGGCCCUCAGCGUAGUAAUCUCCUCUCGCUAUAGGACCUGGUGGGUGCGUGCCAUCAACCCCUAUUUUUCUCAAAGGUUGACCUCGGAUCAGGUAGGGAUACCCGCUGAACUUAAGCAUAUCAAUAAGCGGAGGAAAAGAAACCAACAGGGAUUGCCUCAGUAACGGCGAGUGAAGCGGCAACAGCUCAAAUUUGAAAUCUGGCUCUCUCAGGGCCCCGAGUUGUAAUUUGUAGAAGAUGCUUCGGGUGUGGUUCUGGUCUAAGUUCCUUGGAACAGGACGUCAUAGAGGGUGAGAAUCCCGUAUGUGACUAGGUACCUACGCUCAUGUGAAGCUCUUUCAACGAGUCGAGUUGUUUGGGAAUGCAGCUCAAAAUGGGUGGUAAAUUUCAUCUAAAGCUAAAUACUGGCCAGAGACCGAUAGCGCACAAGUAGAGUGAUCGAAAGAUGAAAAGCACUUUGGAAAGAGAGUUAAACAGUACGUGAAAUUGUUGAAAGGGAAGCGCUUGCAACCAGACUUGCACACUGUCGAUCAUCUGGUGUUCUCACCAGUGCACUCGAUUCCGUUCAGGCCAGCAUCGGUUUCAGUGGUUGGAUAAAGGCCUUGGGAAUGUAGCUCCACCCCCGGAGUGUUAUAGCCCUCGGUGCAAUGCAGCCUACUGGGAGCGAGGACCGCGCUUCUUGCUAGGAUGCUGGCGUAAUGGUUGUAAGCGACCCGUCUUGAAACACGGACC